GACGAACGCUGGCGGCGUGCUUAACACAUGCAAGUCGAACGGUGAAGGGACCAGCUUGCUGGUUCUGGAUGAGUGGCGAACGGGUGAGUAACACGUGAGUAACCUGCCCCCUUCUUCUGGAUAACCGCAUGAAAGUGUGGCUAAUACGGGAUAUUCUGGGUCUGUCGCAUGGCGGGCCCGGGAAAGAUAUUGCUUCGGUGGGGGAUGGGCUCGCGGCCUAUCAGCUUGUUGGUGGGGUGAUGGCCUACCAAGGCGGGGACGGGUAGCCGGCCUGAGAGGGUGGACGGUCACACUGGGACUGAGACACGGCCCAGACUCCUACGGGAGGCAGCAGUGGGGAAGAUUGCACAAUGGGCGCAAGCCUGAUGCAGCGACGCCGCGUGAGGGAUGGAGGACUUCGGGUUGUAAACCUCUUUCGCCAGUGAAGCAGGCCUGCUCCUUGUGGGUGGGUUGACGGUAGCUGGAUAAGAAGCGCCGGCUAACUACGUG
rnacentral:rRNA from 1 species